UCAAGAGGGCCCAGCAGAAUAAGCCUGAACCUCCUCAGAAGUCUCUCUUGGGUCUGCCUGUGCAGGAGCCAAUGAUGGUGACAAUGACAACAGGUCCCGCCUAUGCGUGCUGAUAGAAGAGCCAUAUAAACGUCAGUGCUGGGGAAUACCUCUAAAGAUGGAAAUGCAGAUAGUCUGGUGCGUGGCCAUUUGUCUCUUAAGAGCAAAAGGUGCAGAUGUCCGCCUCAAUCAGACACUGAGUCUGGUACUGGAGAGAGGAAAAAUAGCGGACCUACACUGUGAACAAAAUAUUAAUCAUGAUUACAUGUACUGGUACCAGCAGCAUCAGGGCAAAGGAUUGCACCUGAUCUACUACUCCUAUGAUACAGCUAAAGUAGAGCCAGGAAAUAUUUCUGAGAGAUUCACAGCCGUCCGGCCGCAAACUCAGCUCUUUCAGCUGAAAAUCUCACCUGUGAAGCCUGAGGACUCGGCUGUGUAUUUCUGCUCCAGCAGCUUAGACACAGUGCUUCAGAGUCACCUCCUCCCUCUACAAAAAACCACCUCCACUUCCUGA